rnacentral:rRNA from 1 species
AUUGAACGCUGGCGGCGUGCUUAACACAUGCAAGUCGAACGCGAAAGGGGCUUCGGCCCUGAGUAAAGUGGCGCACGGGUGAGUAACACGUGGAUAAUCUGCCCUUAUGAUCGGGAUAACAGUCGGAAACGGCUGCUAAUACCGGAUACGCUCAAAAUGAACUUUUUGAGGAAAGGUGACCUCUGCUUGCAAGUUACCGCAUGAGGAUGAGUCCGCGUCCCAUUAGCUUGUUGGUGGGGUAAUGGCCUACCAAGGAAACGAUGGGUAGACGAUUUGAGAGGAUGAUCGGCCACACUGAGAAUGAAACACGGCCCAGACUCCGACGGGAGGCAGCAGUGGGGAAUAUUGCGCAAUGGGCGAAAGCCUGACGCAGCGACGCCGCGUGAGGGAUGAAGGUUUUCGGAUCGUAAACCUCUGUCAGAAGGGAAGAAACCGAACUGUGCUAAUCAGCAGUGCCUUGACGGUACCUUCAAAGGAAGCACCGGCUAACUCCGUGCCAGCAGCCGCAGUAA